CUUGCUGGAGACAAUCCUGACGGAGCUUCAGAGAGGAAGGACGUCUGCAGCCCUGAAAGGGCUACCCAGUGUCCUGAGAGGAUUCAUUAUGAGAAAAGUGUCAGUCACAGUUUUAAGACCUUACUUUGAAAGGAAUUAAGGAGAAAGCAAAUUGGAAGGUAAGAUUUCAUCUUUGUUUUUGUAUUGAAAAAGUUUCAGUGAGUUUAUUAUAAAUGUAUCUAAGCCAUUAAUUUUUGCAGCCUUCAAGUAAAGUCUAUGAAAAGAGGUU
rnacentral:lncRNA from 1 species